GUUGAGGUAUGGGACUGAAUGCGACAACAUCUGUUCUAUAACAUGCCUGGGCCAAAACUGCCGCAUCACCGGAGAGUGCAAAGUUUGUGAGAUCAACCGAUACGGGGACUACUGUCUGGACGAGUAUGACAAGAAAGUCAAAAAUGAAACAAACAGCAAAGCUAGCCCAAUCCUGCUAUCUUCAAAUUACGAAUCGACCCCCCCAGAAACUAUGAGUAAAACAUUCUUCGUUGCCGUUUUCACAAUCCCAUGCUUUUUCAUAAUACUCUGUGUGGUGGCAAAAAUCAGCGCUCGUAAGAAAGCACCCAUAAACAGCUCGAACGAGCCAGUGAAAGAGAAACCAGAUGAAAAAUAGGAAAUUUCUUUUUACCUUCUUGCCAGCGUUGAAAUUUCUCGUGUCAAU